GUGGAACCUUAAUAAUUACUUGCUUGGCUUGUUACUAAAUUCUUGGCAUUUAAAGAAUUGAAAGGAAUGAUGAAUGACGGAUAAAUGAAGUGAAGUGAUGGACUCUGACUUGCAGAGUAGUAAGAUGUGAAAGGAAUGCACUUCUGUUUAAGGACCCUGACCUUGACUCACUCACUGUUCAAGAGAAGAAAACAAGAAAAGUGACUCUCGUCUAUAA